rnacentral:rRNA from 1 species
UACGAGGGGGGCGAGCGUUGUUCGGAAUUAUUGGGCGUAAAGGGUGCGUAGGCGGUUUUGUAAGUCUUAUGUGAAAUCUACAGGCUCAACUUGUAGUCUGCAUGAGAAAUUGCAGGGCUUGAGUAUGGGAGAGGUGAGUGGAAUUCCUGGUGUAGCGGUGAAAUGCGUAGAUAUCAGGAGGAACACCUGUGGCGAAAGCGGCUCACUGGACCAUAACUGACGCUGAUGCACGAAAGCUAGGGGAGCAAACAGG